GCCUGGGUGGCUCAGUCGGUUGAGCGUCUGACUUCAGCUCAGGUCACGAUCUCACGGUUCGUGAGUUCGAGCCCCGCAUCAGGCU
rnacentral:tRNA from 1 species